GAACUGCUAAUUUAGAAGAAGCAGGUGUAGAAGAUUGCUCAACUGAAUGCCCUUAUAAACAUGCUGUUAGGGGAACUCACCCCUGGUGAUCAUCAGAACAUCAUGACAAUAUGCACAAUUGAUGUACAUGCGAGGGAUGUUGUAGCCACGCUUAUAGCACAGAAGCAACGCGUAGCUGCCAACAUCAAGGAUUGUUUCUCUGCAUUUCCAAACACCCUCCUAUCCCCACAAUGAAAUCCUGUUGUUAACCUUUAUUCCCUAAAGAAAGAUGUCAAGGUAUUGAGAGACAUGGAGAUUCAUUUUAUCACUUUAGUCCUGAGUUAAGAGCUGAAACUACUUGAGAUACAGACUGGGCAAUGUCACCUCAAUAGUGCUUAUGCUGACCAUUACUGUGUGUAAAGCAAAAAUGUCCAACUUCAAAGCUUACAGCAAGUCUUGUUCUUGGUGGCAGUACAAACAACCUAAUAAAAUCAUAUUCUGCAGCUGUUUCUAAAGUACUGCAACCCUAAAAGCAUGAACAAAUAUAAUGUGGAAUUGUGAAACAUGUUUGUUUCUUCAGCUCAAUGCAAUGCUAUCACUCUCCAAAUAUAGUUCUAUAUAUAAGAACAAUAACCUCCUUGCAUAUGAUAACAGCGGCUGAUGAGAAAAGCAGGGAAGUUUGGUCACUUAGAUUUCGCCAAAUGGGAAGAGGGAGAUAUUAAUUAUCUCUUAGUAAAGCUGUGGGAUCAACGUGUUGGAAAGGUGUACAAGAACAAAAAAGGAGGAUGACUCAUGGAGUGGAAGGUGGAAAGACAGAGCAUCUUGAUCAGGAAAGGACAAAAGAAGUAGUCUGAUUCCUCAGUAGCCAGUGGAGGCAGACCUGCAAGCAAAGUACAAGGUGAGCAGUUUACAGCAAUAACAAGAAAUACUGCAGGGUUAGAGGAUCAUGCAGAGAUGGUCACAGAAGAAAGCAGAAGUACUGCAGUGCUAAGGGA
rnacentral:lncRNA from 1 species